CGUCUUGUCGUCGUCGGCAUUCCAAUGGCUUAGUUUAAUCGUUAGUCGACCGCAGAGAUAGAAUCGAAGGCUGGAAGCUCCUGCUGCUCCGACGAUUUCUGUGUAAAUUCUGGCGGCUCCGGCGACGGAUUGACCUGCAUGUAAUAUGAAAAUCAAUCACCUCGUUAAGCUCUGCACUGUAGUGUAUUUAGUUUUUGAAUUCGAUCAAGUGUUGAUUAAUUGUGUUUUUAGUUGGUUUCGGACGCCGUCGCCGGGAAGCGGCGGCUGUUUUUGGCUUCUCUGAAUCCAUCUUCAUUGACCUCCAAAAGUAUAACCUGAGGUUUGGACUCUCUGUCUCUUUCUCUCUCUCUCUCUCUCUGCCUGUUCCAAAUACAAUUUGCAGGUCAAAUAUUGAAUAGGAAAUUGAAUUUGGUGUGAAAAUUUAAGAUCAGAGAGCAGCUGACGGUGAAAAUGAGUUUUGAAGAAUGGAAGACGUUUCCUUUGUAGUCUGUCAGGGAGAGAAUUGACCCAUUCUAACAGGACAAAGUGAAACGUUUUUUACUGAGCCUAACAAUCAUUUUUGGACAUCUUCCAAACGGCACGUGUGAAUCACGUCCUGUUAAAUCCCAUAUGGAUAACCACCCCAGGUGGUCAGCAGACACUCUCCUUGAUCGAACUCAUUCAUCACACCACCAUCAUCAUAAUGGGUCCUAGUGUCUUACCCAGUGAUUUACGGAGUUGUCGGGUCAGUGGGUUAACGGAUUGAGUAUGUGUAAACGAAGUGUCAGGUAUGGAAAUUUUAGAUGGAGACAGAUGAGGCCGGAGACACGGAAAUUUGGGACAGAGGUCUCCUAAGUCCCAAAUGACACAUUUCUGAACAGAAAUUUCACAACCUAUACAUGCAAGCCAAAUCAAACAUCGAAUUGCACAAUUGUCUAGUACAACGGCAUUCAAGAUGUCAGCCGGUCAGUUAUGGAUUGACUGCAUUGUCUGACUGAUGGACUUGUCUAGAUUGAUCAUUGCACGGCAGGUGUCGCCGCCCCGUCUUCGUCUCUGUCUCCGUCUCCGAUCGAUCUCGCCAUGACCUUUCUCGCGCGGUCCUCCAGCUCCACGGAGAUGUCCG
rnacentral:lncRNA from 1 species